rnacentral:rRNA from 1 species
AUGGCGAAGAAGGCCACAAAGCGAGCUGUUGGUGAAGCAAGGGGUCGGGCAUAUGAGGACCUCUACCAACGGUUAGGCACGAAGGAAGGUGAAAGGGACAUCUAUAAGAUGGCUAAGAUCCGGGAGAGGAAGACGUGGGAUAUUGGCCAAGUCAAAUGCAUCAAGGACGGAGCAGGCCAACUCUUGGUGAAGGACGAAGAGAUUAAGCAUAGAUGGCGGGAGUACUUCGACAAGCUGUUCAAUGGGGAGAAUGAGAGUUCUACCAUUGAACUGAAUGACUCCUUUGAUGAGACCAGCAUGCGUUUUGUGCGGCGCAUCCAGGAGUCUGAGGUGAAGGAGGCUUUAAAAAGGAUGAAAGGAGGCAAGGCGAUGGGCCCUGAUUGUAUCCCCAUUGAGGUGUGGAAAGGUCUCGGGGACAUAGCGAUAGUAUGGCUAACUAAGCUUUUCAACCUCAUUUUUCAGGCAAACAAGAUGCCAGAAGAAUGGAGACGGAGUAUAUUAGUACCAAUCUUCAAGAACAAGGGGGAUGUUCAGAGUUGUACUAAUUACCGUGGAAUUAAGCUGAUGAGCCAUACAAUGAAGCUAUGGGAGAGAGUCAUUGAGCACCGCUUAAGAAGAAUGACAAGCGUGACCAAAAAUCAGUUUGGUUUCAUGCCUCGGAGGUCGACCAUGGAAGCCAUUUUCUUGGUACGACAACUUAUGGAGAGAUAUAGGGAGCAUAAGAAGGACUUGCAUAUGGUGUUCAUUGACUUGGAGAAGGCCUAUGAUAAGAUACCGCGGAAUGUCAUGUUGUGGGCCUUGGAGAAACACAAAGUCCCAGCAAAGUACAUUACCCUCAUCAAGGACAUGUACAAUAAUGUUGUGACAAGUGUUCGAACAAGUGAUGUCGACACCGAUGACUUCUCGAUUAAGAUAGGACUGCAUCAGGGGUCAGCUUUGAGCCCUUAUCUUUUUGCAUUGGUGAUGGAUGAGGUCACAAGGGGUAUACAAGGAGAUAUCCCAUGGUGUAUGCUCUUUGCGGAUGAUGUGGUGCUAGUUGACGAUAGUCGAACGGGGGUAAAUAGGAAGUUAGAGUUAUGGAGACAAACCUUGGAAUCGAAAGGGUUUAGGCUUAGUAGAACUAAAACCGAGUACAUGAUGUGCGGUUUCAGUACUACUAGCUGUGAGGAGGAGGAGGUUAGCCUUGAUGGCCAGGUGGUACCUCGGAAGGACACCUUUCGGUAUUUGGGGUCAAUGUUGUAG